UACGGAGGGUGCAAGCGUUGUUCGGAUUUAUUGGGCGUAAAGCGCGUGUAGGCGGUUUCUUAAGUCUGAUGUGAAAGCCCUGGGCUCAACCCAGGAAGUGCAUUGGAUACUGGGAGACUUGAAUACGGGAGAGGGUAGUGGAAUUCCUAGUGUAGGAGUGAAAUGCGUAGAUAUCUGGAGGAACACCGGUGGCGAAGGCGGCAUCCUGGACCAAUUCUGACGCUGAGGAGCGAAAGCCAGGGGAGCAAACGGG
rnacentral:rRNA from 1 species